CAGCUACUCCCUCCGUUCGGAAUUACUUGUCUCGAAAAUGAAUGUAUCUAGAACUAAAAUACAUCUAAAUACAUUCAUUUCUACGACAAGUAAUUCCGAACGGAGGGAGUAGCUG
rnacentral:pre_miRNA from 1 species